rnacentral:tRNA from 1 species
CAAGGCGUAGCUAUAACAUAAAGCACUCAGCUUACACCUGAAAGAUACUUGUCACAUCAAGUCGCCUUGA